AUCGCUUCUCGGCCUUUUGGCUAAGAUCAAGUGUAGUAUCUGUUCUUAUCAGAUCACGGACAGCCUAGUACUGAUCAGAGAUGCCAUCUGUUAUGCGAGAGACAGAAACAUGCGGCUUAUAGUCCUAAAUUUAGACUUUGAGAAAGCUUUUGAUCGGGUCUCGCACCAGUACCUCUUCAAGGUACUGCAA